rnacentral:rRNA from 1 species
CCUCCCUCACCCAUCUCCAGCUACCUCCCAGCUACCGACGAAUCCCAACCAUCUCACCCGCCGCCGCCGCCGCCGUCGAAGCCGAUACGAGUUCAUCCUCUACCUAGCGUCGUCAUCCCGUCUGCUUUGGGGUCUCCGCGAGCCGCCCGCGCUCGAAGCCGAGGAGGUCCUAGGGUUCGCCAUCCUGCGUGUUUGUGUUCGCUGAAAUAUGGAGAUACAGACUUCAGGGAAGCCCAUUGAUAUGCUGAUGGAGAAGGUUCUCUGUAUGAAUAUUCUUUCUUCUGAUUACUUCAAGGAGCUCUACAGGAUGAAGACCUAUCAUGAGGUCAUUGACGAGAUCUACAACCAAGUUGAUCAUGUGGAGCCUUGGAUGACUGGCAAUUGUAGGGGUCCUUCCACUGCAUUUUGUCUCCUCUACAAGUUCUUCACAAUGAAGCUUACUGUGAAACAGAUGCAUGGUUUGUUGAAGCAUCCUGACUCGCCAUACAUUAGAGCUGUAAGUUUCUUUGACAUAAGUUACUUUUGACAAAUACACGCAUCAUGGCUGUUGUGUCUACUCGUUACAUUUGUUUGUGAUUAAUGCAUGCACUAGGUUGUAUGUCAAAGUUGUACGAAAACAAAGUGUUAGUAUGUUUGCAGUGACAAACUGGUGUUAUCAACCUAUCCUAAGCAAUCAACACUUCCAUUUUUUUUAUGUUCACUUAUUACAUUUUGGUUAUAACCACUAACAGUCAUAUGACUUGCUUUCUUGCAUGGCCUUGUGUCUUGAUUUUGGUCCUAGGACACGUGGAUGAACAAAGUUUGCAAGCAGUAGUGUACCAGUCUGUGCAUUGGAUUUAUAGGAUUUUUGUAUCUUCGAUAUGUUGCAGAUCCAAAGAUCCUAUGGACAUGGUAUGAGCCCUACUUGAAGGAUGAUGAGGAAUUCUCCCCCGGAUCUAAUGGUCGCAUGACAACCAUGGGUGUAUAUGUGCGUGAUCUUAUACUUGGACAGUACUACUUUGAUAGUAUCCUUCCAAGAGUUCCUGUUCCAGUAGUUCGUCAAGUAACAACCAAUCUUGAGAAGAUGAAGCUGCCUACCAAGCUUUCUGGGGUGACUGGAGACAGUCGCCACGGAUCAGAGGACACUGCCCGUCGCCCCCCUUCUGUUAAAGCUUCUCUGUCGGUUUCUUUUGGACAGCGUGCGCCACACCGUGCUUCCACACGGGAUUCUUCCCCAGUGCGGCGAACAGUCACCCAAGAUGAUCAUCGGAGAUCAUCUUCACCAUUUCGUCGCAGUGUAAGUCGGGAGGGGCCUUACAAUGACCGUUCAAGUCACGACCGAGAAGGUAACCGUUCAAGCCGUGACCGAGAUACUGACCGUUCAAGCCGUGACCGAGAUACUGGCCGUUCAAGCCAUGACCGAGAUACUGGCCAUUCAAGCCGUCACCGAGAGCGUGAUCGUUCAAGCCAUGACAGAGAGCGUGAUUAUGACCGUGACAGCAGGGAUUGUGACUAUUACAGGUCCAGGCAUUCAGAAGAAAGAAGGGAUUACGGAAGCGAGCGUGACAAUAGUAGACAGACGCUCCAGCUCAUGUCAUAGGAGCAGAAGCCGGAGUCGUAGCAGGAGCAGGAGCCGGAGUCGGAGCAAGAAUGAGCAUCGAUCUAGUCCUUUUGGGGAUACAAGCAAAGAGAAGGCUGCUGCUGCCUCGAGCAACCUAGCUAAGCUGAAAGACCUGUACGGCGACGUAACUGAGAAGAAGGAUGACAGUGAUGCCAGGUGGCUUCACCAUGAUUCAUGUGCCGAGGAGGUUAUCAGGUUGGGAGGCCCUAGGUGGAGAUAAAUUUGAACCGCCGACUCUGUCAUCAAGGUCAUGUUACUCCACCGUUUGAUCUACCGGCUUCUGCAUUGGCAUUAGUGAGAGUUUAGUCUUUGUAAACACUUGUACUUUAUGUUGGUUCAUCAAUCCAUGUCUUUCGGACGUGCAGUCAGUCUACCAAAUUCAUCAACACAACGUUAUCAUGUUAGGCUGAAUGUUUGACGUGUACCAACUGGGUUACAUGAUGUCUGGCACUAGAGCAAAAAUGAAGAAUGCAAUGAUACAUCUCUUUCAUUUGAAGAAAGAAUCAUACAUCUCUGC